AUGGAGUUAACAUGUAGAACAUUUUUCUUGAAAGAACUCAUGUUAAUCUUGAAAUAUAAAUGUUGUACUCUUUUUGAAACAAGAAAUUCAUGUGAAAACUUAAAGCAUGAAUUCUUAAAUAUUUGGCACCAAACUGUUUUCAAAUUGCAAAUAGAAGUUUUCUAUUUUAACUUUCCUUAUUUAUAA
rnacentral:lncRNA from 1 species